rnacentral:lncRNA from 1 species
AAGUAGUUUACUGUUGAUGUAUUAAACUGAUAAAUAUAUUGUUAUUUUUCAGAAGUCAUUGUAAGCUGUGAGAAUGUGACUGGAUCUGUGGGUAAAGAAGUAACUCUCACCUGCAGCGUCUCUCUGCUGUUCACUGAAUGCUGCAUUGUAAUGUAUAUGUUUCAAUACCCUGAGAGCAUUAAUGACUCCGUAAUCUGUCGUCAAGACUUUCCUAAUGACUCCUGUGAACUGAGAAACAGCUUCACAUGCCGCUACACUCCAACUACAGCAAUGACAGAACAAUUCAGAUUCUUUGUGCAAACAACGUGUGUAGUGGGCAAAUCAAAAUUCACUGUGGACACAUCAGUUUCCUCAGAACAUAUAAACCCAGAAAACCCAUCAGGAUCCUCUCCACCAGAGACAGCAGCAGGAUCCAAGGAUACUGUCAUCUCUGUGCUUGUGAGUGGUUUCAUCAUCAUCAUCCUCCUCAUCAUCAUGAUGGCGAUCAUUUGCAAAACAAAACCGAACUUCACCAAACUUUGUAGAUGCCAGAACUGGAUGUUUUUGAGUGUCAGACAUGAUGAGGACAACAAUCGUCCAGAAAAUGAGAUAUAAUAGCAUUGAGUUUUGUUCAUUGUGACUUUACAUGUGAUGCUCAUGAAACACACAAGCUUUGUUUGAACUCUACACUAUUCUACAUCUUAUAUCUCAAACUACUAAA